rnacentral:pre_miRNA from 1 species
UGACCUAGUCUUCGAGGUCCAGUUUUCCCAGGAAUCCCUUGGGUGUUGUGGUGGGGAUUCCUGGAAAUACUGUUCUUGUGGUCUAGGUU